rnacentral:lncRNA from 1 species
GCUUGAAAAUUUCCAAAGCAUGUAAAGGGAGUUUACAAAGUCCUCCAGCAUUUAUUUGAUAAGUGUUCGGUGAGUGCCUAUUGAAGGCCAGGCAGGGCAGUGAUGUUGGGGUUAGACAGUAACCAGGGAGACAUCCCUGCCCUCUGGGAACUGACAUCAAGUCGGGGAGAAAGUAAAUAAACAACAUAAUGGUAGGCAGUGAUCAGUGGUACGAAGAGAGAGACCUGGCAGUGGCACUGCUUGGAUGAGGAGGAGACAUUUGAGGAGGACUUUGGCUUUAUUUUGUCCCUCAAGUGAGCAAGCAGCCCUUGGCAAGCCAGGAAGAGUGCUCUCACAGGACCUCAAUCAUGCUGACACCGUGACCUUGGACUUCCAGCCUCCAGAACUAUGUGAUUAUGGAGUGGUCUUGAUUACGUCUUGAUCCAUUGUGGUCAAAGAGUGGCCGUGUCUGAUACUGAUAGACUGUGGAGUUGUUUGUGUUCAACACAGAACACAAGACUUGGCUGUGAGUGACAGCUUUCCUAACAGCCCUGAAGCAGUGGGGACUUCCACAAACCUCUCCCAAGAAUCUGACUCAGGAGAAGGAACACUUGUGUGAAAAGAGGAGGACGGGCAUCUGGACGAAGUAGAAAUCAGUGUGCAGAUGCCAUUGAAGUGGCAGCAUCACAGAGCCAGGAGAAGGAGAGAUUCAUUUGUUAAAUUAUUUUUAAAUAAUUGCUACUGUUAAGACAUAUAUACGUAUUUUUUCUCACUGCAAAACUGGAGUGGUGCUCUUGUGCCACUGAAUUGCUAUAAUGGAUAUCUUUUGUUUUUGCCUUCCAAGUUUCCAUUCCAUCUCCUUCAGGUAACAGCACCUGCUUUAGCUCUGGAUGUCUUGCCGUCCCCAGUGAGAUGAAGUCUUGUUGGAACUUUCAAUCAAGAUGCCCCAAGCAUGUUCCCCUGGGUCACAUGACCCAAGUCAGAUUAGUCAAGUACUUCUUCCCUGGAUUUUGAUUUUUGAAUGGAGUGAUAAAAAAGAUGACAACCCAAAUUCUUUAUCAUGGCCUACAAAACUCUCUGUGAUCUACUCUCUGCCUAUCUCUCCAUUGUCAUCUUCUGCCACGCUGCCAUGAGUCACAAUGUCACCACACUCCAGUCCCACUGGCCACCUUUCUGUUUCCUGAACCCACCAAGCCUUUUCCAGCGUGAGGUCGCUGCACUUGCUGUUCCCUUUGCCUGAAAUUCCCUUUCCCUUUUAUUUCUCAGCUGGCUUCUCUUUCAUCCUCCAGACCUCUACAUAAAUACUCUCUUUAUAAGAUUCUUUCUUUGAACCAUCUUAUUUAAAGUAGGCCUCCGUUAUUUUUAAUUUUCCCAUGCUAUUUUAUUUUAUUUGUUACAUACUCACUAGCUGACCCCUUGUUUAUAUAUUUGUUAAUUUCUUUAUUGUCUACUUUCUAUAAAGUAUGAGCAUGACAGCAUCAAGUAAGUAGAAGCUGCGUCUGUGUAGUUCUCUGCAGCAUCUCCAGUGCAGGCAGAUGCAGAGUUGUUGAUGAGUUCUCAUUUGUCCUGGAUCUUCUUAUUCUGCAUCCAUCUCUCCUUCUUGACUUCUGGUCCUGCUGAUCAAAAUUGGCCCCAAGCCCACUACCAGAUAUAGCAUUGUGAACUCACAGGGGUGGUAGCCCAAAAAGCCAGUAAUCUUCCAGAGAAAUUCCUCAUCAGCCCCCUUCAUGGUCUUUCUCUAACAGUGGAUGUGCCUAGCUUCCAGAUUUCUGAAAGCCCUGACUCACUUAGUUAUUCCAGGGCUGGUUUCUCUGAUUCUUUGAUUCCCUAUUCAGAUCUUUCUCUUCCCAGCCCCUCCCACCAUUGUGUAAGGUCUAACUCCUAUAAUGAAUUCCUUAUUCCAUAAUCCUCAUGGAGUUUUCUUCCCUGAGUGAACUGUGAUACAACUCUCAAGGUCACCUCAUGGCUCAGGACAGCAUCAGGAGGUUCAGCCACCAUCUCCAUAUUGCAGGCCAGAAGCAGGUCAAUGACAGGUGGGCAGAAGGAUGCUGUGGUAGCCAGAAUCCAAGGCAAUCCCUAUGAUCCCACCUCCUUGGAUUCACUCUCUUGAGUGCUUCACCUGACCUUGGAGGUUCCCUUUGCCCUGCCCAAUCACCUGUAGAUAGGACUACUAUUACCCUCUCCAUGGUUAAGCCCUGUGACUUUGCCAUCUAUGUCCUGCUGGAGCCUGACUGAUACAGCAAGAGGAGGCAUUGCCCAGGAAGUACCAAUUUUUCACACCCCCUGAGAGUGAAGGCAGAUAUGAACCCAAGGGACAAUACUAUUUUCUCAUUGCCUGGCUUCUUGGAUCAAAAUUGACACCUUUGGGAGUAAACUCCUGGAUUCCUGGACAAUUUGGGAAGGAGAGGUAAAUAUUGGAUUCUUGCUAAUAUAGGCAUAUGAAGUCUCAAGUGAUUAACUGAAAAAUAAAGAUUGGGUACUGUUUGUCUCCCCCCAAGCUGAAUAGGUUGAAGCCUAACCCCCAGUGUGAUGGUAUUAGGAAACAGGGCCUUUGGGGAGAAAUUAAGUUUAGGUGAAAUCAUGAAGGUGGAGCCCCCAUGGUGAGAUUAGUGCCAUUAUAAGAAGGGCCACCAGAACUUCCUCUCUCCAACAUGUGAGGACACAGGGAGAAGGCAGCCAUCUGCAAGCCAGGAAGUGGGCCCUCAUCAAGAACUGAAUCUGCCAUCAUCCUAAUCUUGGACUUCCCAUCCUCCAGAACUGU